CCCUUAGAUGUUCUGGGCUGCACGCGCGCUACACGGAUGCGAUCAACAAGUUUUUCCUAUGUCGAUAGACACGGGUAAUCUUUUGAACUCGCAUCGUGAUGGGGAUAGAUUAUUGUAAUUAUUAAUCUUCAACGAGGAAUUCCUAGUAGGUGCAAAUCAUCAGUUUGCAUCGAUUACGUCCCUGCCCUUUGUACACACCGCCCGUCGCUGCUACCGAUUGGUUGAUCUGGUGAAUUAUUCGGACUGCCGGCUGAAGGGGUUUCCUCAUCUGCCAGCGGAAAGUCUUGUUAACCCUAUCAACUAGAGGAAGCAGAAGUCGUAACA
rnacentral:rRNA from 1 species